CUCCGGGUUUAUUUAAAGAGCCCUUUCUUGGCAGCAGGGCAGCAGCCCCCCUCGAGGACGGGAGAUUAGCCGGUAUGGCAAGAAUGCUUUGAUCUGAAUAUUACAGGAUGGAAAAUGAAUCGGGACUGGGAGGUGAUGAGCCAGGGGAGGAAGUGGUGGGCAGCUUCGCCCUGGGUUGCAUGGAAUACAAGUAGAUUGCUCAGACUGGAAUUUCUGAUGCUGUUCACACCUCCCAGCAUGAACCUGAUACCAGACCGGUUUAUAUCAAGAAUACAAACUCUGCGCUCAGGCAAUAUUAUGCAUUAUUCCGUCAGUGCAGCUGUAAGCACCAUAGGAAUGAAGAGGAUCAAAAUGGCAAUUAAUGCUCCACUUCUAAGAAUGCCUGUCUUAGUUUCUGAAGUUUGUACUACACUCUCACUUGGCACAGCUCUGCAUUCAACACCUUUCCUUCCCAGGUUGACCACAUCUUUCUGUAAUCUCCUGCCUCCUACUUGCUUCAGUGAAGCCCUAAUCCAGCUCAGCUAUCACCCUCCACAAACAAGCAGCUCUCCAGCUGAUCUCUUUGGCUCAGAGUGAGACUUUUUAGCUGUUCGUCCUCUUCUUCCUCUGCUUCCAUUUGCUCUCCUUUCAGUCUGACUUGCACUAAGGUCUGUUCUUCCCCCAGGGCUCUCUACUUCUGCUGAUGUUCUGGGUCCAUCACAAGGUCUUCGCAAACCUGGCAGUUUCUGCUAGACUAACAGCUGUCUUCAUACUCCCAUAGCUCUGGGGCUUCCUGGAGUCAGAAGCACAUCACAAAGCAAUGAAUUUCAUGACUCCCAUGUGAAAAAAUUACUGGCUUAAAUGAAGUUAGAAGAAACCUUCUGGUCCAGAGGAUGCAAGCCAACCUGCUGGGGUCCCACAGCUGAGCUGCUAAAAUUUGGCCAAAGACAAAUAAAUUCUAUAGGAGAUGGGACAUACUUGAGGUGGGGCAGAGCAGUAAGUUAUUGCUCCACACCUACUGAGUUUUCAGAUUGUCCAAAUGUCUCAGCUGAGCUGCAAGUGGUUGCUUCUUGUUUUUGGCUGGCCUCAGUUCCUCAGAGCAUUGGAAGGAGGAGAUGCAGACACAAGAAGUGUUUCCAUCACAGAAAAAGCUGAACUACAUAAUGUCUGAAAUGAUGGCUGGCGGCGUCCAGGCUUGUCUGUGUACCUAUUUGGGGAGCUGGAGAACAGCUCUGGAGGCACUUACGUGAGUCCGGAGUGUCCUUUAGGCGGAUCACUUGGAAGACAAUAAAACUGAUAUUUAGCAGAUUGCUGUCUCACACCUGAAUCGCCAGGAAGGGGUACAACAGCCUUCCCAAGAUGAAAUCCUUUGGUGAGAAAAGGAGCAAACUACAGUGAUGGAGAAAUAACUGUAACCAACCCAAAGGAUUAGGAGACAACCAAUUGCUGUCUCUACAAUACUAGAAAGUGCCUAAGUUCAUAGACCUUCAUUCUUUCCGUGCUAUUAUUCCUUUGUCAUCUUCUUAAUCUGCACAUGGUUGUUCUGUAUGUCUUUGGGUAUACUAGAAAUACAAAAAAUACAAGAAAAUUUCAAAAAGAGGAAAGCCCUCUAAAUUAAUCCAUCUCACCCAAACAACUUUACUUUACCUUUACAUUGUUUGUAAAAUUUUAAGAAAUACUCAAUGGAAAAAGCUGUAAAGAUACCUUUUCUGCAAGCAUAGCUAAAAUCAUCAACAGACGCUUCCAUCAGAAUUACUAAUGUUUAAAUUCUGUGACUUUCUGCCGUAGCUACUAAAUCCUGCAGCCAUCACAAACACCUCUGUGCUGACCUCGUGAUUCUCAGGACUCCACAAGCUGUAGGAAGAAACUCUUGUGAAUAAAGGCUACAUACUCUGGAAAAUCUGGAAGAGUUUCAUACAGGAGAAAGGAACCAGCUUGGAAGGGGUUAAGUGGCUGGAGACCAGAUGCAGCUGGGCCCUGUUAAUCUGCAGGGACCAGCUGCUUUGUAUAAAAAAGAAGAC
ensembl:lncRNA